rnacentral:rRNA from 1 species
CACGCAAUCAAUACAACUUUCAAACAACGGAUCUCUUGGCUCUCGCAUCGAUGAAGAACGCAGCGAAAUGCGAUACGUAAUGUGAAUUGCAGAAUUCAGUGAAUCAUCGAAUCUUUGAACGCACCUUGCGCCCCUUGGUAUUCCGAGGGGCACACCCGUUUGAGUGUCGUGAAAAUCUCAACCUUCUUGGUUUCUCCUGGACACCGAAGGAGGCUUGGACUUUGGAGGCCUUUGCCGGCGUCUCUCUCUUUUGAGAGCCGGCUCCUCUUAAAUGAAUUAGCGGGGUCCUCUUUGCCGAUCCUCGACAUGUGAUAAGAUGUUUCCAUGACUUGGUUUCUGGCUCUGUCGCCUUUGGGACCCGCUUCUAACCGUCUCGACGAGACGACGCUUGGGCGUGUCUCCCUUCUCGGGAGACUCUCUCAACCCCACGAACCCUUGACCUCAAAUCGGGUGAGAC